CCGGGAUAUGCUAUAUGGACCAGAAUUUCAAAUUUAAUUAUGGCAUUAUACAAAUAUUUAAAUUUCUAAAUCAUACAAUGAUAUCACAUCAAAGUCUGGACUGUAACACCAGAUAAAAUACACAAAUCCAUUUCAUGACAUAACCUGUUCAAAUCACUUUCAAAACCUAUUUCUUAUCAUGUCUUAUUGAAACUCCAAACUUUAAAACUUCAACAGCCAUAGAGUUUUGCAGGAAGACGCGGGGAAAGAAGAACCUCUAAUGGGGUUGCUUUUGGUAAAGUUGUACCGGGUGUCUCAGUCAUGUCAACAGGCUGGUCAUUUGGGGUUGCCAAAUCAAAUGCAUGAAGGAACCUAGCAAGUGCUAGGUGUAGAGCAUGGAGUGCAAAUGAUGCACCCGGGCAUGAUCGUCUACCAGAGCCAAAAGGAAGGAGUUCAUAGUGUUGACCUCUGACGUCAACAUCCAUAUGGUUUGUUAGAAACCUCUCGGGCUGGAAAGCUGUCGGAUUUGUCCAAAACCUCGGAUCCCUCUGAAUCUUCCAUACAUUUACUAAUAAGCGAGUGCCAGCUGGGACAUGAUACCCAGCUAUGUUACAAUCUUCCAUGAAUUCCCGGGGUAUCAGGGGAGCAACUGGGUACAGACGGAGGGUUUCCUUGAUCAUGGCUUGAAGGUAUACUAGGUUUUUGAUGUCUGAUUCAUCAACUUCACGUCCAGUGCCAAUAUGGAUGUCUAGUUCUUCUUGGGCCUUUUUCAAAGCUGGUUUAUUAUUCAGAAGCAAUGAGAUGGCCCAUGUUAGUGUGGUUGUUGUUGUGUCACUAGCACCAGCAAUAAGAGCCAGACAGGUAGAUUUGAUACUAGUAUCUGCAUCAUAUUGGAAGCCUGCCAGGUGGCCUUUCUCCUCAAGCGACAACAUCACAUCAAUGAAGUCCUGUUCACCCUUAGUCUUGGCCUCUCCAGAAACUCUCCUUUGGCGAUGCUCAGUCAGCCAACCUGCAAGUACAGCAUCCAAGUCCUUGGCUGUCUUCUUCAUUGCCCUUUCAUGCCCUCCUAAAUCCAACCACCAUAGAAAUGGAAGUGCAUCUGAAACAACAAAAAUUCCCAUCAAGUGAAAGAAUUGAGAAAUUGCCUUCUGGCACCGUCUUGUCUCAUCAUCAUCAAAAGAACCAGUAUAUCGUUUUCCAGCCACUGCUCUAACAAUCACAUUAAGAGUCAUAUCCUCAAACCACUGUUUAAGUUCAACAAGCACUGGAACGCAAUUAUUUUCAGCCCAUAGACUAUAAAGCUUCCUUAUCCCCAAGUCAACUUCAGAAGCCUGGACAUGCUUCACCAUCUCCAGUCGGCGGUUUGAAAGAAGUUCAAGCAUUACUAUCUUUCUCAUCUCACGCCAAUGUGAGCUGUAGGGUGCAAAACCAAAUACAGCAUGGUUAUAGCACAUGUGCUUUGUGGCUGCUGUAGUGGGACGAGAAGCAAUGGCUUUGUCAUUUAUGGUGAAGCAUUGCUUUGCCAAUUCCCUACUAGCAACCACAAAAGCACGAUGACUGCCUAUGCGGAUGUUAAAUGCUGGCCCAUGCUUAUCAGCCAUUGAUCCAAGUGUUUGGUGAAGAAGCUUAUCAGCACCACCCAAUGGAUAAAGGUGGCCAAUGAUUGGCCAUGCACCAGCUGGUUCAGGAGCCUCUCUAAUCUUGCUACAUUUGCUACUCUUUUUCCAUUGAAUAUAAGCAUUGCAGAGAAAGAUGAAGGAAAAAAACACAGCAAUUGAGGUUAACUGGAGAGAAGGAUCCAUAAUUAAUUAUUUGAUUUACAGAUUUUCGCAUAUCAAACUGAAAUCCUAGUUAAUUUAUAAGCCUACUCCAACAACAAUUUAACAAAAUUCAGCAUGAAGCACACCAAAGUUUGGUGAUUUGUGGCAUUGGCCAUGCCAUCCCUGUAUACACACACAUAUAAUUUAUAGAUUGAUAUAGAUAUCAGAAGAAUUUCAAAUAUUUUUCAUAAUGAUAGAAUUAUUUAUCCCUAUUAUAAUUAACCCGUAUACUCAUUUAAUUUCUGAAAAAUGCCACUUGAAAUUAAUAUUUAUAUCUCACAAUAUUUUAACAUAAGAAUAUGACAGUCACCUAACGGUGCUAAUCCAGCAAGAUGAUGACAGUUCAUAGAAAAUAUGACGUUUACAUACCUCAUUCAGUUCCAGAGUACAGCGGCUGGGAAGAGAUCUAACAGGCCCUUCUACCCACUAAAAUAUCUAAUGUUUCACUUGGCCUCAGUAUGCCUUUUUUUUUUGGGGGGGGGGGCGAGCGCCGGGGGCCGGCCGCGCAGGCGCAGGGGCUUCAUUCAAACAUGACAAAUAUGCAUGGUUCAUGACACUGCCCUUUAAUAUGGUUUCCACAUUAUACAUUUCGUAUACUGCAUCAUCUGUCCUGCUACAUGCUGGAUGCAGUAAACAGCCACAACUGAAAUUCAGGUUGCUAUGGAAAAGUUGAGGAAGCAUAUCCGGGUCUUCUAAAAUUCAGAACUGUAUGGGCUCAUUGGUUUGAAUUGUUGGUGCUCUGCUCAAAUUAUUUUUCACGCACAAUCAUUGCUGGACGAUACUAACAAUUUCUUCUUCCUCAGUGCUGUGGUAUAAUUGAUUGGCAUGGCCUGUCUGCAUUUGCUGUUAAUUGUUUUGCAGCGUACAAACCGCAAAAAUUGCUUUGGGCCUAACCUUUAAAACCUUUUUAUGGCUCAUUAUUUUGUUGGGCUGUGGAGCCUCCUCCAUAUCACUCAUUACCAG
rnacentral:misc_RNA from 1 species